rnacentral:rRNA from 1 species
ACUCAAAGGAAUUGACGGGGGCCCGCACAAGCGGAGGAACAUGUGGUUUAAUUCGAUGAUACGCGAGGAACCUUACCCGGGCUUGAAAUGCAUCUGACGUAUUCGGAAACGGAUAUUCCCUACGGGGCAGAUGUGUAGGUGCUGCAUGGUUGUCGUCAGCUCGUGCCGUGAGGUGUCGGCUUAAGUGCCAUAACGAGCGCAACCCUCAUCGUCAGUUACCAUCAGGUAAAGCUGGGGACUCUGGCGAGACUGCCAUCGUAAGAUGCGAGGAAGGUGGGGAUGACGUCAAAUCAGCACGGCCCUUACGUCCGGGGCGACACACGUGUUACAAUGGGUGGUACAAAGGGCAGCUACCUGGCGACAGGAUGCUAAUCUCCAAAACCACUCUCAGUUCGGAUCGGAGUCUGCAACUCGACUCCGUGAAGCUGGAUUCGCUAGUAAUCGCGCAUCAGCCACGGCGCGGUGAAUACGUUCCCGGGCCUUGUACACACCGCCCGU